rnacentral:rRNA from 1 species
UACGUAGGGUGCAAGCGUUGUCCGGAUUUAUUGGGCGUAAAGAGCGUGUAGGCGGCCAAGCAGGUCCGCUGUGAAAACUCGAGGCUCAACCUCGAGACGUCGGUGGAAACCGUUUGGCUAGAGUCCGGAAGAGGAGAGUGGAAUUCCCGGUGUAGCGGUGAAAUGCGCAGAUAUCAGGAGGAACACCGGUGGCGAAGGCGGAUCUCUGGGCCAUUACUGACGCUGAGGAGCGAAAGCGUGGGGAGCGAACAGG